UACGUAGGGUGCAAGCGUUAAUCGGAAUUACUGGGCGUAAAGCGUGCGUAGGCGGUUGUGCAAGUCAGGUGUGAAAGCCCCGGGCUUAACCUGGGAAUUGCAUUUGUGACUGCUCGGCUAGAGUGUGUCAGAGGGGGGUAGAAUUCCACGUGUAGCAGUGAAAUGCGUAGAUAUGUGGAGGAAUACCGAUGGCGAAGGCAGCCCCCUGGGAUAACACUGACGCUCAUGCACGAAAGCGUGGGGAGCAAACAGG
rnacentral:rRNA from 1 species